CCUACGGGGGGCAGCAGUGAGGAAUAUUGGUCAAUGGACGCAAGUCUGAACCAGCCAUGCCGCGUGCAGGAAGACGGCUCUAUGAGUUGUAAACUGCUUUUGUACGAGGGUAAACGCAGAUACGCGUAUCUGUCUGAAAGUAUCGUACGAAUAAGGAUCGGCUAACUCCGUGCCAGCAGCCGCGGUAAUACGGAGGAUUCAAGCGUUAUCCGGAUUUAUUGGGUUUAAAGGGUGCGCAGGCGGUCGGAUAAGUUAGAGGUGAAAUCCCGAGGCUCAACCUCGGAAUUGCCUCUGAUACUGUUCGGCUAGAGAGUAGUUGCGGUAGGCGGAAUGUGUGGUGUAGCGGUGAAAUGCUUAGAGAUCAUGCAGAACACCGAUUGCGAAGGCAGCUUACCAGGCUACUUCUGACGUUGAGGCACGAAAGCGUGGGGAGCGAACAGGAUUAGAUACCCGGGUAGUC
rnacentral:rRNA from 1 species